UGGGGGAUAUUGCACAAUGGGCGCAAGCCUGAUGCAGCGACGCCGCGUGGGGGAUGAAGGCCUUCGGGUUGUAAACUUCUUUUGCUCUGAACAAGGCGCACUUUGGGGUGUGUUGAGUGUAGGGGUUGAUUAGCGCCGGCUAACUACGUGCCAGCAGCCGCGGUAAUACGUAGGGCGCGAGCGUUGUCCGGAAUUAUUGGGCGUAAAGGGCUUGUAGGUGGCUGGUGGCGUCUGUCGUGAAAGCUCAUGGCUUAACUGUGGGUUUGCGGUGGGUACGGGCUGGCUUGAGUGCAGUAGGGGAGGCUGGAAUUCCUGGUGUAGCGGUGGAAUGCGCAGAUAUCAGGAGGAAUACCGGUGGCGAAGGCGGGUCUCUGGGCUGUUACUGACACUGAGGAGCGAAAGCAUGGGGAGCGAACAG
rnacentral:rRNA from 1 species